CACGCCCUAAACGAUGUCAACUGGUUGUUGGGUCUUCAUUGACUUAGUAACGAAGCUAACGCGUGAAGUUGACCGCCUGGGGAGUACGGUCGCAAGAUUAAAACUCAAAUGAAUUGACGGGGACCCGCACAAGCGGUGGAUGAUGUGGAUUAAUUCGAUGCAACGCGAAAAACCUUACCUACCCUUGACAUGCCACUAACGAACCAGAGAUGGAUUAGGUGCUCGAAAGAGAAAGUGGACACAGGUGC
rnacentral:rRNA from 1 species